AUUGAACGCUGGCGGCAUGCUUUACACAUGCAAGUCGAACGGCAGCGCGGGCUUCGGCCUGGCGGCGAGUGGCGAACGGGUGAGUAAUGCAUCGGAACGUGCCCAGUAGUGGGGGAUAGCCCGGCGAAAGCCGGAUUAAUACCGCAUACGACCUGAGGGUGAAAGCGGGGGACCGAAAGGCCUCGCGCCAUUGGAGCGGCCGAUGUCGGAUUAGCUAGUUGGUGGGGUAAAGGCUUACCAAGGCGACGAUCCGUAGCUGGUCUGAGAGGACGACCAGCCACACUGGGACUGAGACACGGCCCAGACUCCUACGGGAGGCAGCAGUGGGGAAUUUUGGACAAUGGGGGCAACCCUGAUCCAGCCAUGCCGCGUGCGGGAAGAAGGCCUUCGGGUUGUAAACCGCUUUUGUUCGGGAAGAAAUACUCUGGGCUAAUACCCCGGGGGGAUGACGGUACCGGAAGAAUAAGCACCGGCUAACUACGUG
rnacentral:rRNA from 1 species